UUUCGCAAUGCCCGAAAGGGUGACGAAGCGACGCCGCGUGUGGGAAGAAGGCCUUCGGGUUGUAAACCACUGUCGGGAGUUAAGAAAGGUGUACGGGUAAAUAGUCCGUGCAUUUGACAAAAGCUCCGGAGGAAGCCACGGCUAACUCUGUGCCAGCAGCCGCGGUAAUACAGAGGUGGCAAGCGUUGUUCGGAAUUAUUGGGCGUAAAGAGCACGUAGGCGGCCCUGCAAGUCAGCUGUGAAAGCCUCCUGCUUAACGGGAGAAGUGCAGUUGAAACUACGGGGCUAGAGUGCGGAAGGGGAGAGUGGAACUUCUGGUGGAGCGGUGAAAUGCGUAGAUAUCAGAAGGAACACCGGCGGCGAAAGCGGCUCUCCGGUCCGUAACUGACGCUGAGGUGCGAAAGCCAGGGGAGCAAACGGGAUUAGAUACCCCGGUAGUCCUGGCCGUAAACGAUGGGCACUAAGUAGAGGGGUUUU
rnacentral:rRNA from 1 species